ensembl:lncRNA
AGCAAAUAAUUCACGGCUAAUCCUUAGCAUGAAAAUCAAGGUGAGAGCGAAAGCAAGCAAAAGAGGGAGAAAGAGAGAGAACAUCAGGGGAAUGAAUGCGCGAAAGAAAAGAUGACACAGGUCAUGGGAAUCUUCCACCAGAUCACAGGAAGGACGAAGAAAAACAGUGAGAGUUAGACUAUGAGGAGGAGGAGGAGGUGGCAGAGGAGAAGGAGGGGAGCCAACCUGGAGUCUGAGAGAAGAAUCCCGGCGCCACGGUGUAACAGCUGCCUCAGAAAAUACAAAGAAAAGACUACUGAUGGGCUGAACUUUACCAAAUGUAAAGACACAAGAUACUUCAUCAUAACUGCCUUCGUUGAGAGAAAAAUACAUGAGAAAAACAAAGCAUCACUCACCUUUCUUCCUGAGGGGACAAUGAGCCCACGAAUGAAGAGGCUGAUUUUUUUGCUCAAAUUUAUACCCUUUACAUAGUAGGGAAG